rnacentral:rRNA from 1 species
UACUGAGUGGCAGACGGGUGAGUAACAUGUGGGAAUCUGCCUUGUGGUUCAGGACAACAUUGGGAAACCGAUGCUAAUACUGGAUAAGCCCUUACGGGGAAAGUUUUAAUGCCAUAAGAUGAGCCCGCAUUUGCUUAGUUAGUUGGUGAGGUAAUGGCUCACCAAGACAAUGAUCAAUAGCUGAUCUGAGAGGAUGAUCAGCCACACUGGGACUGAGACACGGCCCAGACUCCUACGGGAGGCAGCAGUGGGGAAUCUUGCACAAUGGAGGAAACUCUGAUGCAGCGAUGCCGCGUGAGUGAAGAAGGCCUUUGGGUUGUAAAGCUCUUUUGUAGGGGAAGAUAAUGACUGUACCCUAAGAAUAAGGUCCGGCUAACUUCGUGCCAGCAGCCGCGGUAAUACGAAGGGACCUAGCGUAGUUCGGAAUUACUGGGCGUAAAGCGCGCGUAGGCCGUUGAGUUAGUUAAUUGUGAAAUCCCAAAGCUUAACUUUGGAACUG